AUACGCGAUUUACAAGUAAUAUUUGAGAGAAAUCAAAGUGUGACUAGAGAUAGACUCACAAGUCUCGUAGUAAUACAUGGACUACGACUCGUAGAUAUAUAUUAUGUAAGAUAAAUACAUGAUAUUAAAAGUAAUUACAAAGGCAUCUACAAUAAUAUUUACAACAUAUAUAUAUAUAUAUAUAUAGUUACAGGAUGAUACAAUCGCGGACACGCUGUCUACAACGACGCCUCUUGCCAUUGGUCUUGUGUUCCUUAGAAUCCAUGCUACUUUGUUUGCUGUUGAUACUUUGACUUCUACUUCUACUUCUGCUUCUUCUGUAAUUAAUAAGUAGACACAUAAAAAAAAAGACUAUAAGCUUGACUUCACAAAUGUCUCUGAAUAGAAUUAAAUACCUUUACCUUCAUGAACGCUUAAUACAUAAUUAAUUAAAGGUCCGUUUGAUAAUUAUUUUAAUUUUAGUUUUUAGUUUUUAGUUUUCAUUUUUUGCGCUAGAGUGCAGAGGAAAAUGAGAGUGAGAAUGAGAGUGAUUGUGAGAUUGAGAGAAAAGAUGAGAGAGAAGGAUGGGAGGAAGAAGUAACAAAAGUGAAAACAAUUUUAAAUAGAUUUCAGAUUUUAGUUUUUGUUUUCACUUUUGUUACUCCUCCCUCACAUCCACUCCUAUCAUCUUCUCACUUCUAUUCUCCCUCUUAUUCCUCUAUACUUUAGCAUAAAAAAUGAAAGCUAAAAAUUAAAAUUGAAAUCGUUAUUAAACGGACCUAAAGAUGUUAUUCAUUACGAACAAGAAGACCAUGCUUUAUGCAUGAAGCAUGCAUGCAUCUUCUAAUGCCAAAUACAUUUCUUUUACGUUCUUGGUUGGUAGCUUUAACUUGUAAUUGAAACGAAGGUCGUGGUAUAAAAAUGGUCGGUCAUGUCAAAUAUUUCAGAAAUUCUUUAGGGCAACUAAUUUUCUUGGUCUGUAUUCUCUUAGGAAUAUUUAAAAGCUAUUUUCCUAAUCACAACUUGUCCGUCUCUUAACUGAUACCGUCUACAAAAUUAAAAUACAAUACUUGUCUUUUUUCUUUUUGGAAGCAAGCGAUAUUGUUUUCAUUUCAAUAUACCUUCUUUUGGUAUGAUGGCUUGCUUGGCUGGCUCACUUGUAGUCUAGUAGGUAGCUAAAUAAACAAAAUCCAGCAAGCACAAGAGGAAAAUACUCCUAAUAAAGAAUCAGCAGCAAAAACAUCAAACGCAUCAGCAAGUGAUUCUUUGAUUCUUCCCCAAGAGCAAUCGGACAUGCCUCCUCACGCCCAAAUUCAUGCAAUUUAUUUACAAGCGCCACACAAAAGAAACUUUUUAGCGAGAAAAGAAACCUCCCAUAAAAAUUAAUUUUUUAUAAUUUUUUUUUUUAAAAACAAAAACAAAACCUUUUUCCCUCGAAAAUAACUAUUCCUAGAUUCCAAAUUGGCUUUAAAGAAAUUACCCGACUUUCGAAUAUUUUUCGUACGUAGGGUCUCCAUCUUCAAUGGGUGAAAGCAUCCGCACCACUAUAAAGAUAUUUCUAUUUUUAGCUUUUAAUUUUCAGUUAAAGAUAACGAAGAAAAAAGAGAGGAACCGAAAGAGAGAUUGACAAGAGGUCAGCAACAGACGAGAUAAAUAAUAUGAAAUUCACUUCCGUUUGCCAUCUUUAUCCCUCACUUCUUCCACAUAUCUCCCUUUUUUCCUUAAUUAAAAUAUAACAGAAUUAUCAAUAAAUAAAUAAAAUAGGGUUGUAAAACAGACCUUAAACUUUGCGUUUCCGCAUUUUUUAGAUCGAGAAAAAUAAAACAUUUACCUUAAGACUACAGAAAGACUUUUAAAAUGUUUUUAAAAAAUGUCGCUUCGAUCUCAGAUUCAAAAACCCUUACUCUCUCCCCCAUCCUUUCAACAGGCCUCGAAAGAAAGCAGUAAAGCAUACGACAGGAAAUACAAUCACCCUUACUCUCUCCCCCAUCCUUUCAACAGGCCUCGAAAGAAAGCAGUAAAGCAUACGACAGGAAAUACAAUCAACGAAACAUAAAACACAAUUUCAUACCAUUAAUGGAGUAACUGGUUAAGUUUCAUCAGAACAAGUAGGUUCACAUUUCAUUUCCAUUUAUGCUUUCUUCCAUCCAAGUCUAGCAUUUAGUAUACUGAAUCACGUAUGGUGAACUCAAACUCAUCCACCUGUGCAUUUCAGACUCCAAGAUUGGCGUACGAAAUAGUACUCCCAUAAAACAUGAUAAACAGAAAAGAAAACAGCAAGAGCACACAAACAACUAGUCUAUCGCAUCUUCACAACCCAAAAAAUCACAAACCACACUGCACAAUGUAGCCUUAUAAUAUGGUUCAAAUCAUCAAGAUUUGUCUAUAAGCCGCGCAAAGGCAAGACUACGGCUUUAAAAGGCGUCAUGUUACGAAUACAAACGUCAUCCUCCAGCAACUUCUGUAUCAACAGGAGAGAGAGAGAGAGAGAGAGAGAGAGAGAGAGAGCAAUACGGGCAACUUCGCAUACAAACACAUUAGGUCCUUUUAGCAGGUCAUCUUGAGGGAAAAAUAUAAGGGGGAAUGAAACUGAUGGCCAAUUCAAAUGUGUACCAUGGUUUUUAAACAGGAAUAUUUGAAAUGAAAGCUAUCAAUUCAAAUUUCAUAUUUUAAAACAGAAACAAAUGAGCACAAAUGCAUGACAAGGAUCAUACUAACCAGAGAUACUAAAACUCGCAAUAUUAACAAUGAUACUCACCCAUAAGCAGAAACAUCAGAUUCACCCAAUUGUUCUAGGUCAUUGAUACCAAAAAGAAGAAUGAACAUACCAAUGAAAAGUAAGGGACACUACCAAAGAGGAACUAUUAAGAGACAGCAAACAAGUAGAUACUAGAAGAACAGUACCACAAA